rnacentral:tmRNA from 2 species
GGGGGCGAAUUGGGUUCGACGUUUUUAUUGGAUUCCAAAGCGCAUGCCAAGAUCGUGAUAACUCUUGUAAAACGUAUCACAAAAAAUUUAGUUGCAGAAAACGACAACUACGCAUUAGCCGCUUAAUUGGCUAACCAGUACAAAAAUUGACUAUGGUUUGAAGUACUGGGAAAUUUCAUAGUCUAGGAUUUUUUCGGUGCCUUAACGAUUAAAAUCUAAAAUUUUAUUUAGGCUAGUAUUAAGUAUCCUGCUUUUCGGAUCAUUAAUACGAAACAAAAAGAAAAAGCUAAGCAUGUAGAAGUUAGGUUGAAGGACUAACGGACGCGGGUUCAAUUCCCGCCGCCUCCACCA